AGACCCGAAACCCGGUGAUCUAGCCAUGGGCAGGUUGAAGGUUGGGUAACACUAACUGGAGGACCGAACCGACUAAUGUUGAAAAAUUAGCGGAUGACCUGUGGCUGGGGGUGAAAGGCCAAUCAAACCGGGAGAUAGCUGGUUCUCCCCGAAAGCUAUUUAGGUAGCGCCUCGUGAAUUCAUCUCCGGGGGUAGAGCACUGUUUCGGCUAGGGGGCCAUCCCGGCUUACCAACCCGAUGCAAACUGCGAAUACCGGAGAAUGUUAUCACGGGAGACACACGGCGGGUGCUAACGUCCGUCGUGAAGAGGGAAACAACCCAGACCGCCAGCUAAGGUCCCAAAGUCAUGGUUAAGUGGGAAACGAUGUGGGAAGGCCCAGACAGCCAGGAUGUUGGCUUAGAAGCAGCCAUCAUUUAAAGAAAGCGUAAUAGCUCACUGGUCGAGUCGGCCUGCGCGGAAGAUGUAACGGGGCUAAACCAUGCACCGAAGCUGCGGCAGCGAACGUAUCACCCAAGACAACUUUACGGAGUUGACGAUUGACGGAGCGAAGCGACGUCAAAGCGUUCAUUAAAGUCGAGUUGGCUUAGGGAUACGUUCGUUGGGUAGGGGAGCGUUCUGUAAGCCUGUGAAGGUGGCCUGUGAGGGUUGCUGGAGGUAUCAGAAGUGCGAAUGCUGACAUAAGUAACGAUAAAGCGGGUGAAAAGCCCGCUCGCCGGAAGACCAAGGGUUCCUGUCCAACGUUAAUCGGGGCAGGGUGAGUCGACCCCUAAGGCGAGGCCGA
rnacentral:rRNA from 1 species